rnacentral:lncRNA from 1 species
ACCAACUUAAACUUUCUCUCUAUAUUGACAAUAUUUAUAAGGGUAUGAAAAUGGUGUUGCUACAGUUGUCGUAUUUAUUAUCCUGUUUUCUGAGUGAUUACACCUGUUUUUGAGAGAUUUGAGAGAAAUCCAAGUUCCUGUGUGGGAUUGUUGUAAACUUCUUGUUGGUGGUCAAUCUACGUUUGUGAGCCUCAAAGGAAGAUGUCGUCACGUAGACAAUGCAUUUUGUUGAACAUAUCGUGUUCAAAUCAUUAAGCCACCAAUUUGUGCGCAAAGCAGAUCAAGAAAACAUUUUAAUGGAUUCUUAUCCACAGUAGUAGUAAACUCAAUACUAUAAAUUCCGAUUUCUCCAGGGCAGUAGGCUACCUUUUUUUGACAAAAAAUGGUGAAUUCACAUGCUCGUCCUGAUGGGAAGCAAUUCCUACAAGCUCCUAGUGCGUUCUGCCAUUCCACUCAAAAUAUCCUCUCUCUUUUUUGUUCGCGAAUUUGGCACAAUUCGAUUCAGGUGAACGAAGUCCUACAGAAAAAAUGGAACCUUCAAAUGGCAUCAUAAGAAACUAUUUCACAUUUGCUGUGUUGGGGAUCCUAGGAGUUCAAUCAACCAAAACAUCAACCAAUAGAAGAUAUUCUAAGGCAAAACAAUGAAAAAGGGAUGGAAAAAUACAACCUGUCUUUGGCCGAAAUUUCUGCAGUUUUCCUUUCUCGUUUCAGCAGCUUCUUCUUCGAUUUAUGGGUGUUUUUCAGGCUCAGGAACAGCCUCCAUGACUUGCAAAUCACCUUCCAAGAGAGAGGGGAAAAAAUCCGGCAAAGAACCACCACCUUAAGCUAAAACCGAGAGCUCCCCUUCUGCUGGGAAUAAAAAAAAAAAAAAACCGAGAGCUUCCCCUUUCUUUUGAAAUGGUAGAGAGUACAUAUGAAGGGGAAGGAAGGAAAGACCAUGCCUCUGCCAAAACGUGGGAAGACCUCAUUGUGUCAACAUCAAUACCAUCAAGUCACAACAUUGGGUGGGGUUAGGUGAACCAUAUCCUCACAUUCUUCACCUUGGUUCUCCUAACACUCUCUC